AUUGAACGCUGGCGGCAGGCCUAACACAUGCAAGUCGAACGAGUGGCGGACGGGUGAGUAAUGUCUGGGAAACUGCCUGAUGGAGGGGGAUAACUACUGGAAACGGUAGCUAAUACCGCAUACCAUCGGAUGUGCCCAGAUGGGAUUAGCUAGUAGGUGGGGUAACGGCUCACCUAGGCGACGAUCCCUAGCUGGUCUGAGAGGAUGACCAGCCACACUGGAACUGAGACACGGUCCAGACUCCUACGGGAGGCAGCAGUGGUGAAUAUUGCACAAUGGGCGAAAGCCUGAUCCAGCCAUGCCGCGUGUGUGAAGAAGGUCUUCGGAUUGUAAAGCACUUUCAGUUGGGAGGCGUUACCAACAGAAUAAGCACCGGCUAACUUCGUGCCAGCAGCCGCGGUAAUUC
rnacentral:rRNA from 1 species